rnacentral:rRNA from 1 species
GAUGAACGCUGGCGGCGUGCCUAAUACAUGCAAGUAGAACGCUGAAGCUUGGUGCUUGCACCGAGCGGAUGAGUUGCGAACGGGUGAGUAACGCGUAGGUAACCUGCCUCUUAGCGGGGGAUAACUAUUGGAAACGAUAGCUAAUACCGCAUAAAAGUCGAUAUCGCAUGAUAUUGAUUUGAAAGGUGCAAAUGCAUCACUAAGAGAUGGACCUGCGUUGUAUUAGCUAGUUGGUGAGGUAACGGCUCACCAAGGCGACGGUACAUAGCCGACCUGAGAGGGUGAUCGGCCAAACUGGGACUGAGACACGGCCCAGACUCCUACGGGAGGCAGCAGUAGGGAAUCUUCGGGAAUAGGAGCAAACCUGAACGAGCAACGCCGCGUUAGUGAAGAAGGGUUUCGGAUCGUAAAGCUCUGUUGUAAGAGAAGAACGAGUGUGAGAGUGGAAAGUUAACACUGUGACGGUAACUAACCAGAAAGGGACGGCUAACUACGUG